UCAGGAUGGCGGGGACGAGUUAUCUGAACCUUCGGGGAACGAUAACGGCGUCGAGCGGCGGACGGGUGAGUAAUGCCUAGGAAAUUGCCCUGAUGUGGGGGAUAACCAUUGGAAACGAUGGCUAAUACCGCAUGAUGCCUACGGGCCAAAGAGGGGGACCUUCGGGCCUCUCGCGUCAGGAUAUGCCUAGGUGGGAUUAGCUAGUUGGUGAGGUAAUGGCUCACCAAGGCGACGAUCCCUAGCUGGUCUGAGAGGAUGAUCAGCCACACUGGAACUGAGACACGGUCCAGACUCCUACGGGAGGCAGCAGUGGGGAAUAUUGCACAAUGGGCGCAAGCCUGAUGCAGCCAUGCCGCGUGUGUGAAGAAGGCCUUCGGGUUGUAAAGCACUUUCAGUCGUGAGGAAGGUGGUAGUGUUAAUAGCAGUAUUAUUUGACGUUAGCGACAGAAGAAGCACCGGCUAACUCCGUGCCAGCAGCCGCGGUAAUACGGAGGGUGCGAGCGUUAAUCGGAAUUACUGGGCGUAAAGCGCAUGCAGGUGGUUUGUUAAGUCAGAUGUGAAAGCCCGGGGCUCAACCUCGGAAUAGCAUUUGAAACUGGCAGACUAGAGUACUGUAGAGGGGGGUAGAAUUUCAGGUGUAGCGGUGAAAUGCGUAGAGAUCUGAAGGAAUACCGGUGGCGAAGGCGGCCCCCCUGUACAGAUACUGACACUCAGAUGCGAAAGCGUGGGGAGCAAACAGGAUUAGAUACCCUGGUAGUCCACGCCGUAUACGAUGUCUACUUGGAGGUUGUGGCCCUUGAGCCGUGGCUUUCGGAGCUAACGCGUUAAAUACACCGCCUGGGGAGUACGGUCGGCAUGAUUAAAUACUCAUAUGAAAUUGCAGCGGCCCCGCACAUACGGUGGAGCAUGUCGGAUUAAUUUCGAUGCCACGCGAAGAAACCUUACCUACUCUUGACAUCAGAGAACUUUCAGAGAUGACUCGGAGCCCUUCAGGAACUCUGUAAACAGUGCUGCAUGUUCUGUCAGUCACGCUAAGUGUUCGUGACAUGCUGAUAGUCCUGCAAACGAGGCGCACGCUUAUCCUAGCUUGCAGCGAGUAAUGUAUGUACCUCCAUGCUGACUUGCGGUGGAUAUCGCAGAAGUCUAGGUACAGGCGUGCGAAGUCAUCUAUGCCUCCUUGUACCAGAACUG
rnacentral:rRNA from 1 species